GCUGUAGCUUAGUGGUGGAGCACUUGAUUUGAAUACAGAAAGUCCUAGGUUCAAUCCCUAACUGCGUCUCCA